UACGGAGGGUGCAAGCGUUGCUCGGAAUCACUGGGCGUAAAGCGACCGCAGGCGGCCUGACAAGUCGGAUGUGAAAGCCCUGGGCUCAACUCAGGAAUUGCAUUCGAAACUGGUAGGCUCGAGUACGGGAGAGGGGGGUGGAAUUCCUGGUGUAGGGGUGAAAUUCGUUGAUAUCAGGAGGAACACCGGCGGCGAAGGCGGCCCCUCGGCCCGGCCAACCUGACGCUCAUGGUCGAAAGCGUGGGGAGCAAACAGG
rnacentral:rRNA from 1 species